CAUUCUGGCUGCUGAACUGAAAAGAGACUCUAAGGAGGCAAGUGUAGAAGCAGAAAGAACUGUUGGGAGGCUGCUGCAUUAAUCCAGGUUGCAGUACAAGUUUGGGAAAGCUGCGAGCUGUAAAAUGAUCUGCCCAGAGGGGAAGAGUCAACCUAAGCUAACAUCUGUUGCUAAUCUUCCUCCUUUUUUUUCUUCUUUUCCCCCCCAAAGCCCCACUACAUAGUUGUGUAGAGUUGUAAGUUCUUCUGGUUCUUCUAUGUGAGCCACCUCUACAGUAAGGCAACUGACUGACGAGUGGUGUGGUUCCACGCCCGGGAACCGAACCUGGGCCUCCGAAGCAGAGUGCGCUGAACUUGAAAGA